UAAAAAUAUAUUUAUACAAAAAUCACGAUAAUCAUGAAAAUGGGGAAAUCCUAAAUUCUCGAAUCAAUUCACAAUUUAUUUUGUAUAUUAAUUAGAUUCCGCGCUCAUCAGUACGUACUCACUGGCGACAUCGAGAAAAUGUAUCGGCAAUUCCUCGUACGACCAGAGGAUCGGAAAUAUCAAAGGAUAUUAUGGCGCAGCGCGAGUGGAGAAACAGAAACAUAUGAGCUUAACACCGUAAUACUCUUAUCAUAGAAAUAGAAGCAGUCCUCAAUUCCCGCCCGCUAACUCCUAUCUCCACCGAUCCAAAUGAUCUCCUAGCCCUCACUCCCGGACAUUUCCUCAUUGGCGAUUCAUUAAUGUGCUUACGUGAUCGAGAUUUCAGAGACAUUCCAUCGAACCGACUCUCCAAAUGGCAGCAUAUCCAACAGCUUAAACAACAUUUUUGGAACCGCUGGCAUAAGGAGUAUUUGAACGAGCUAACCAACCGCAAUAAAUGGAGCAAGGGUGGACACAGCAUCCAAAAGGGCACAAUCGUCAUCCUCAGAGAGGACAACGUUCCCUCCAUUGCAUUGGCUUCUGGGCCGAGUUAUCAAGGUUCAUCCAGGCGCCGAUGGUGUCAUCCGGACAGCUACAGUUCAGACGGCAAAGAGCAUUUUGGAUCGGGGCGUCAAAAGGCUUGUCCCACUGCCAAUUCAACCCGAUCUCGAGAAACCCGAACAACUAGCCAUCGAGACGAAAUAAGAUGGGAACCUCAACCACACCUCGCUAGUUUGAUCGGUACCCUCUCAACGGGGGGAGAAAUGUUACGCCAUGCGGGCUUACCAUAGGUCAUAUUCUUAACUAUCGAUCGCGGCACUAUAAUGUCGCAGACGGAUCGUCGCGUCUGCCCGGCAAACAAACAUUGUAGUGGCAAGCGCAUGGUUCAUUAAGCAGGGCGACUUCCAGAAACGUCGACUCGUGGCCCGUAUUUUACCUCGCUGUAAAAGAAUGUGGCGUGAUCCGAACGUAGUGGGGGUCGCCUUCCAGAAAAAACGAAAAAAUCGAAAGGCGUUCAGAACUUUUCGAGAAGUCGAACCGUCAACACAUGUGGGCAAUCCGGUGGACUUGAUCGGCUUUUUACUUCGAAAGUUGAGUAAUCGGUGUCGCUUUCUUACGCAUCUUUGAACUGUAUAAAUGUUUUAAAAUUGUUUGAUCCAGAAUGUACCACACCGGACAAUCAAGAAGGCAGGUGCCUUGACUACAGAAAAUGUAAACCUCUGCAAGAAAUAUGGCAGAUACAGUACCGUACAGCCACCGAUUUUUAUAGACGAUCAGUGUGCAGAUACCAGGGCAAUGUUACGAUCGUUUGCUGUCCGAAACGAUCCAAACAAAGAGAAGAGAGAAAUUUUAAUAAAAACUGUGUAUAAGUAUAAGGCUUUGCGACCACCAUACUGUGGUUUUAGCAACGUCUCUCAUACCAGGGUGGUCGAUGGUAAACCAGCUGAACUUGGUACGUUUUAUGUCUUUCUUUCCGAUUAAUAAUAAGCCAUUUACUGCAAAGAAUGAACUUUAAAGGCAUUAAACAGCACAUCAAUGUACAUUUCAAUUAGACUAAAUAAUAAUGCUAUGAUUUUAUCGGUAGUAACUUUACUUAUUAACUUGAAUUAUUUCUUUCUUUUACUUCAUGUUAGGAAGAGUAUCUUUUUGCUUGAAAUAAAAAAUUGAUAUAGGAGUAAUAAUAUGGAUAGAGAUCAAAACUGUUAGGGCAGAAAUUACACGUUUGAACUUUAUAGUUCAGUAUAGUUCAAAUAGAAAUUAUAUAGAAUUAUUUAAUAAUUUGUAUUCCACUGGAAUAAAAAUUUAAUUUCUGUCUUUAUCAAAUCUCUAUUUCAGAGUAUUUGUACGUAUGUACUUAUCGUCUGCUGUAUGAUCGAAUAUCGAAUAGGCGCUUGGCCAUGGAUCGCUGCAUUAGGUUUUCGUAAUCCCCGAAACCCAGACAAACCACUAUGGAAGUGCGGAGGUUCCCUGAUAUCGGCUAGGCAUGUUUUGACCGCAGCACAUUGUGCACAUAUGGAUGAAUAGAAAACAUACACAAUCAUAAUAUUGUCAUUCUUAGAUUGGUGGAGGAGGUGCCAUUUUCGAGGUACGUAUAUCCCAUUUGUACGAAAGAGCCCCUACGAAAGAGCAACUUCGUCGGCUAUAACCCCCUUGUUGCUGGAUGGGGAGCAUUAAGAUAUAGACGACCACGACGUAAUGCAUUAAUGGAAGUACAAAUGCCAGUGAUUAAGAACGCCGAAUGCAAAAUAGCUUAUUCCAAAUUUCCUAAUGCACCUGAUAUCACUGAUGGUAUAAUAUGCGCCGAACAUGCUCAGGGUGGAGAGGAUUCUUGUACGGCUGACCGCGGCGGACCACUGCUGAUACAACAUGAAUUAACCUCGUAUUUAAUAGGUAUUGUGUCUUAUGCUUAUAAGUGCGGCACAGCUGGGUAUCCCAGCGUUUACACUAGGGUCACAUCGUACCUUGACUUCAUUCUCCAAGCGAUGCAAUAAUAUGAUAUUACUGUUCCAUAAAUAUCAUUGUGUAAAAAACGUAAAGUUGGAUUUUCUUAUUGUGGAGAUAAGAAAACAGCUCAAAUUUACAUUGUUUUGUACGUUACAAAUUAUAGGCUUAAAAUGUACGAAAUGUAACUUUGAAACGACACUAAUUUUUUACGCACGAUAAACCUCCACGACUUAGGUAUGUAAAGAUGAUAAACGUGUAUUAAUUCUAUUAAUUUGGUAAUAAUAAACCAACUUUCUGAGAAGUUCUGUAAAUUUCGUUUCUGUUGUAUCAAGAGAAUAAUGGAAUAUUCCACUUAGAUCGUAUACUUCUUGUACGUACGUACAAAA